UGGGCUCAGGUUUGAAAGAUCCUAGAGCCUAGGCAGUAGGCUAAUUUCCUCUCCUCUCUCCAGGGUCCUGUGGAUAUACGUGAGCCACCAAGGCAAAAGGGCCAUUUCUCAAACAGCGUGCUGGUUAGAAGGAAGGGCCCACCCCAUUUGUGUGGAUCAGUCUCCCCUUACAUACAUGACAAACCACAUGGGCUUGUUAUGAUCCGUUUGGCACAAUGCCCGGUUCACAGGAGGUCCAGAAAACUGUUCGCAGGAGUGAGAACUGUGUUGUAAGAGGUCUGUUAAAUGUGGUACACAGUAAGUUCAAGCGUAUUCGGCAUGUCCUGUGGAGCAGCCAUGUAGAGCGCUCCCCUGGGUGGGGCUGUGACUCAUUGCCCCAGCGUAGGUUCCAGGUCGGGAUGCGGAGCUGAGCUCCGAGCAGCCACGAGUUCUGGGUGGAACCCUGGAGCGAGCGAGGAGAGGAGAGGGGCCGGCGGCCCACUGCCGGAAUCGAGCGGCUCCCUCUACUGGCGAACUCGGGGAAUCACCAGGUGUUUCCGUGUAUCUGUGUGUCACCGUGUCACGAGGAGGAGUGUCACAGGUGUGUCAGCGAGUGUCGGUGGAAGUGCCAGCACGGGUAGAGGUGAGUGAAGGUGCCUGCUCAUGGAGCAGUGUGGGUGCGACAGUGCCAUGCGGGCCUGUCUCUGCAACCACAGAAUGUACACACACAACCGUAUCAUGGAAUACAAUUUACUUUGGGGCUGGAGGCGGAGGGGGAGUGAGGAGGGCGGCUCUAGGGCUGCAUAUUAUCUGAGAUUACCUCGUGAAGUGAUUAGGACGAAAGUCGGUUCCAGCUGAGACUCCUCACCAACCUCAUACCGAUGGGAGGAAUUCAGGACUGAAGAACAGUUCUUGGGAAGGCACUCUAUCCCCUAAAGGAACUGACGACCCAAGAAAGGGUUAACUUUGAGCCCUACAGUGGCUUCAAUCAUUGGCUCAGAGCACUGUCAAUCAGAGUUCUGGGGCGGGGUUCUCGGGCCGCCUGCGGACUGCCCAGGGCCCCUCGCUUGCCCCUAGACCCCUACAUCAUUUUACUUCUGGGCUGCGCCCACACCCCUAUCUUGGUGGAGACACCUUCCUGGGCCUGGAGGAAGAGCAGAUCCGGGCAUCCUGGCUUCCCCACUCACUCCAGCUGCCUGGCUUCCUGAUAGAUGGUGAUUAUUAUAUAAUAGACCUGCUGGACAGAACCGUGCCAGCGCUCGGAACACUUUGCCCCCUCCUCGAAGCGUGCCCCAAGGUCUGGCACCAGCCGCACCAGAGCCCGCUGCCCAGCUCUGCCGGCUCCCCCAGCACCACCUCCACCUCCGGGCGGGAGACCCCUGGGCCACCUUCCCCGGUGGACCUGGGGCCACGUCUUGGGAUGGGGCGGGCGCCAGGCUGGGAGUCGGGCGGGCGCCCAGCAGGUCUCAGUGUCGGCCUGCAGAGUUUGGCUUUACCAGCGCCUCGCCGGGAUUGUGGGACCCACCUGGCCCCUCGAACCUGAACUUGGAACUUGGGAGCCAAAAGAGGCACGGAACUCUCUGGCCCAAGGGAAAAAUGGCACCCCCGGAUUGUGGACAACCCCCUGAACGAGGCAUAUCCUCAGUCCCAGCAGGGCCUAAAGCCUGCUCUGUGACUUCCAGAAACUGCUCUGUGAUGGACUUCCGGGGGCCUUAUUUUCCCCAUCUGUCAAGACCCAUAACCCCUUCUAAUUGCUAGGGUACUUGGAACUUGAAGUCCCAGAUGAGGAAAUGUUUUUACAAGACGUAACUCUGAGGUAAGGGAAGAAGCUUCACGAUCCAGUCUGUUUCGCAGAAUCCCGCAGCCUCGGGACCCCGUCUGCUGGGACUAGGGUACCGCCUCACGGGGUGCCCACACCCUCGCACUGUGCCGGACCCCGCGGAAGUUGCAGGAAACGAAACCUGAAUCUAUUCUGCGAUCCCGCCAACUAAUUUCCCACAACCAAAAAUAAUUUCCACAAGGAAUCCCAAUUUUCGCUUGUAUCUCUUCGGGCUGCUCCAGUUCAUGACCUACAACGCCGCUUGCUCAAAUUCCCUUCCGCGUUUUCUGCUGCACCUUGCAGCAGCUACCUGUCUCUCUGACUCUCUCUGUCCUCUGGAGUCAACAGAGCUUUGCUGCCUCUCUUUGCUCGAUCUCUUCUCCUUAGCGUAUGGACUGGCUUAGCCUGUCAGGCUUCAUUAUUUUCCGUUUCUUUCACCCAUUACCCAGAUUCUAACACACAAGGAAGCUGCUUGGUUCCUGCCUCCUGUUUCUCCCCGGCUAUUCUUCCAGUUCUCUGUAUCACAAAAGCCCUGGAACUGAGUGGGCCUAGACAAGAUGGCCAACAACAGAAUGGGACAACGCCUCCUCGACUGUGGAGAUGAAGUGAGAUGAUAUAUAUGAAAAGCCUCAUACAUAAAGGCUCUCAAUAAACUAAGAAGAAAAAGCGGGAGAAGGAAGGAGGAGAGAAGAAAGUCGCGUUGAGAACAGGCUUAGUUUCGGCGGCGGUGUUGGGGGGGGGGAGGCGGGUAGGGGUGGCAAAUUUAUGAUAGGCCCAAGUUAAAAAUCCAAGUGUAAAAUGAGCCUCUGGUGAGGCCCAGAUUGACUGGGUGCUUGGUCUAGGGCAAUAUAUACGAAAUGGCGGAGCGCUGGAAGUGGCUGUGGGUGCCAUUUCAAAAGGAGAAGCGAUUCACCUUGGAUUCUGGCUACGUGUGUGGAGAAUGACACAGAGGAGACACGGGAGCACAAAGAGAGGAAAUGGAUUAGGGAAGAAGGGUUCAGGGGCGUCUGGGUGGCUCCAAGUGUCCUACUUUGGCUCCGGUCAUGAACUCACGGUCCGUGAGUUCGAGCCCCGCUUCGGGCUCUGUGCU